AGUGAACGCUGGCGGUAGGCCUAACACAUGCAAGUCGAACGGCAGCACAGUAAGAGCUUGCUCUUACGGGUGGCGAGUGGCGGAUGGGUGAGGAAUACAUCGGAAUCUACUUUUUCGUGGGGGAUAACGUAGGAAAACUUACGCUAAUACCGCAUACGAUCUACGGGUGAAAGCAGGGGAUCUUCGGACCUUGCGCGUUUCAAUGAGCCGAUGUCGGAUUAGCUAGUUGGCGGGGUAAAGGCCCACCAAGGCGACGAUCCGUAGCUGGUCUGAGAGGAUGAUCAGCCACACUGGAACUGAGACACGGUCCAGACUCCUACGGGGGGCAGCAGUGGGGAAUAUUGGGCAAUGGGCGCAAGCCUGAUCCAGCCAUACCGCGUGAGUGAAGAAGGCCUUCGGGUUGUAAAGCCCUUUUGUUGGGAAAGAAAAGCAGCAUGUUAAUACCCCGCUGUUCUGACGGUACCCAAAGAAUAAGCACCGGCUAACUUCGUG
rnacentral:rRNA from 1 species